AUUGAACGCUGGCGGCAGGCUUAACACAUGCAAGUCGAGCGGAGAUGAGGUGCUCGCACCUUAUCUUAGCGGCGGACGGGUGAGUAAUGCUUAGGAAUCUGCCUAUUAGUGGGGGACAACAUUCCGAAAGGAAUGCUAAUACCGCAUACGCACUACGGGGGAAAGCAGGGGAUCUUCGGACCUUGCGCUAAUAGAUGAGCCUAAGUCGGAUUAGCUAGUUGGUGGGGUAAAGGCCUACCAAGGCGACGAUCUGUAGCGGGUCUGAGAAGAUGAUCCGCCACACUGGGACUGAGACACGGCCCAGACUCCUACGGGAGGCAGCAGUAGGGAAUAUUGGACAAUGGGCGGAAGCCUGAUCCAGCCAUGCCGCGUGUGUGAAGAAGGCCUUUUGGUUGUAAAGCACUUUAAGCGAGGAGGAGGCUACCUGGAUUAAUACUCUAGGAUAGUGGACGUUACUCGCAGAAUAAGCACCGGCUAACUCUGUGCCAGCCGCCGCCGUAAAAC
rnacentral:rRNA from 1 species